UGGGAUCUGAUGCCCUCUUCUAUUGUAUCUGAAGACAGCUACAGUGUACUCAAAUACAUAAAAAUAAAUAAAUCUGUAUAAAAAAAAAGAAAAGAAAUCGGGUCCUCCAGAGAAGCAGUGUGAGAGCUCCUAACCACUGAGCCUUCUCCAGCCUCCAUUUGUUUUUUGACAGGGUUUUAGCCCUUGCAGAAAUCCUGCCUCAGCUUCCUCAGUGCAAGGACUACAAAUGUGCACCUCCAAACCAAUAAUUGAAAUCAGUUCUGAGUCUGAGACUUCCUGGCCAGAACAAAAUGAAGUCCUGCCAAGAGCAAGAGUCUGCAGCCUGGCGCUGCUAGGUUUAUUGGGAGUCGCUACAUGCGUUUCCACGUUAUAACGAUUGGGUAAAUAAUACAUUAUAAUUGGUAAAACUGUAAGAGGCUCAAAUGUUGAAAGCUUUUAAAAAUAAAACCAACAAAAAUCAACCAACUCUAAGAAUGGGGAGAAGCUAACAAAUUCAUCACCUGGUCAGCUAUUGAGAACUUGCAGUCAUCAUGAAGACUGAUCUCAUCAGCCAGAACGUCACAACAAAGAAGUAACGGUGGGGGAGUGUGGGUAUGGUAGUGUUGGGAACAGGAUAAGUUUAGAAGCACUAAACACUUUCUAUGAAAAGUGAAUAAUGGCUAACAUUGGAAAAUGAGUUUGUGCAUGUGAUUUUGAUGUUUUAUUGUUAACAUAGUAGACCUAUGUACAUGUAACACUAUCACUCUGGAUAAAACAUAAACUAAAUUUUAAUAAAUGGAUAUUUAUUUUGAAUACAUUCUUUCCCACCAGUCCAACUGCCAAAAUUCCUUGUGCAGGCUACCAUCCUGGUGCUUCUGUUACCACCAUAGCUAACUGUCUCUUAUGCUGUCCUGUUCCUUGACUUCCAGUUUGUCCUAAACUCUCCAGUCAGAGAACUCUUGGAGUCAUGUCUCUUGCUUCAAAGCUUAUCAAAGCCUCCCCGUUGCACACAUUUUCUGUUGUCCUCCCCUUCUUGUAAACAGUGCUCCAGUUGAAAGGUGGGAGAGAUAACCAGCUUUCUCUUCUGGAACCUGAGAGGUAGGCACAUGAAGAGAAAUCUGAAGAGCAGACAUCAGAGGUAAAGAA
rnacentral:lncRNA from 1 species